UUCCUAUUGGGUUAUAUUAUUGUGUUUUUUGGGGUGUUGUUCCUUUUGCAUCAUGAUUGAUCGAUAUGUUAUUUUAUUAUUAUGUUUCUCGAAACGAAUAGAUAAAUCAAAACAUAGUUAAGAACUAAUUAUUUAACGAGUGGUUAUUAUUAAAUGUUUUGAUUGUAUAGAUAUUUUAGUCGUAGUUUGUUAUAACUAGUUUUAAUUGUUUGUAUUUCUUUUUAUAUCAUAUCCUGUGAGGGGUUUGAUGAGUUUAUAUUUUGUUUAUUUUUUGUAUUUAGUUGGAUUAAUAGUGUCCUUUACUAUUAUAAAAGUGUUAUUAUUUUUUGUUUGUGGUUUAAGUAAUUAAUGUUAAGCAAUUAUUUUUAUAAAUAAUUUUUUAAUAAUAAUGGUUGAAUAAGUAGCUUUAUAAAAAUGAUUUUUUUUUUUGAUUAUAUUUCGACUGUUUAUUAAAAACAUUUCUUCUUAGCUGUUUAAUUAGAGGUAUUGCCUGCUCCAUGUUUUUAUAAAUAGCCGCAUUAGCGUGAGUGUGCUAAGGUAGCAUAAUUAAUUGCUUCUUAAUUAGGAGAUUGUUUGAAUGGUUUAACGAUGGUAUAUAAAGAUGGUUUUUAUGAUUGAAAUUACUUAUAAGGUACAGAAGCCUUAUGUUUUUAAUUAGACGGGAAGACCCUAAGAAUUUUAAAAUUUAUUUUUUGUUUGGGGCAAAAAUUUUUUUUUUAAUUAAAGUUUGAUGAUCUCUUAGAAAAUUGGUGUGAAUUACCUUAGGGAUAACAGGGUAAGAAAUAAUAAGAGUACUAAUCGAUUUAUUUAAUUGCCACCUCGAUGUUGACUUGGGAUAAUAGUUUAGCGCAGUAGCUAUAAGUAUAGGUCUGUUCGACCUUUAAAUUCCUUCAUGAGUUGAGUUGAGACCGACGUGAGUCAGGUUGGUUCCUAUCUAUUAUAUAAAUUUGUUAGUACGAAAGGAUUGCAAAUUUUUAAAAUUUA
rnacentral:rRNA from 1 species